rnacentral:rRNA from 1 species
UACGUAGGGUGCAAGCGUUAAUCGGAAUUACUGGGCGUAAAGCGUGCGCAGGCGGUUAGUCAAGACAAGUGUGAAAUCCCCGGGCUCAACCUGGGAACUGCAUUUGUGACUGCAUGGCUAGAGUACGGUAGAGGGGGAUGGAAUUCCGCGUGUAGCAGUGAAAUGCGUAGAUAUGCGGAGGAACACCGAUGGCGAAGGCAAUCCCCUGGGCCUGCACUGACGCUCAUGCACGAAAGCGUGGGGAGCAAACAGG